GCGGAUGUGGCGGAAUUGGCAGACGCAUCUAGCGCUUAACGGCGUGGGGGUUCAAGUCCCUUCAUCCGCA
rnacentral:tRNA from 1 species